UCCCCUAAAAAGGUCUCUUUCUAUUGUUUUUACCUCAUAAAAUAAAAAUGUGCAGAAAUCACUCAAAAAGAAAAGAUAAUUUUCAUAAAUCACCCAUAACCCAAAAUAAGAUGAAUUUCUAACAAAAUAAGACAAUUAUAACCUUACUACACACGAUCUCAACUCUCAAUUCAGUUUGCCCGAUGACCGACCACCGGCGGCAGUUCAACCACCGAUCAUUGCCACAUGUCGCCGGCGACUGACAACCGGCGAUCCGUUAUCCAAAUCCCUUCGAUGAAGAAGAAAAGAAUGGUUGUAUUUCACUUACUACAAGUACUGAUGAUGUUGUUUUGUGCUAGAAAGAAAAUAGAGGUCGAAGAUGAUGGUGGAAAAUAUUACUUUGAUUCAAAUGAUGCUAAGUUGAUACUUUAGACUUUAGCCAUUAUAGAGAGAGAUGUGAGUUGUAAGUGAGUCUAUCAGUUUUAGCAUUUGUUAGUGAUGGAAAUUGGGUUUAUUUUAGUUUUUUUGCUACAAUUAUGUUUCUUAUAAUGUACAUAUGGUAUUAUGGGAGCAAACUAAAGUAUGAAACCAAAUUUAAGCAAACGAUGUUAAUGUAUCUAAUGCGGAAAUUAGGUCCUAAACUUGGGACAAUUAGAGUCCAGGCAUAGCCUUACAUCUAAUUAGAUUUAAUACAUGAUAAUGAAGAUAUUAUUUUUUA